UUUUAUUGAUAUUAUAAUUACUCCUCUAAUUAUACUUACUUAUUAUUAUACCAAGGGCAAAUAAAUGCGUUGUAGCUUGUAAUAAUACACAUGGGUUAUUGCAGGUAAAGACACAUAAAUCAAGUUUCUUAUAAUGUUUAUUUAAACUCCAUCCGGUUACUUUCACACACAUUGGGUCAAUGACGGCUAUGAGGUGCUAGGACAAUUACCAAUAAAUAAUGUUUUUAAUUUUUGACAAAAAAAAAACAAUUAACUUCGGGCUUAUAAAAUUCUGUUGCCGAUCAAUUCUUCUGUGAACUAGCGCAGAUCGAUUUAUAUAAUGCUUAUGCAGUGUUUCCGUAAACGACCUAUGCAAAAACACCUGACAGGCCAACCGCAUUCGACAAUUAGUUUAGGCAAGACGACGCCAAGUGCCCGACGGCAUAUCAAGAGUGGCAGUUGUUAUGCACCUUUCGAUUGACACGAUCUAAAGGGGACACAGGCCAUCUGAGCACAUCUUGCAGUUUUAAGACAACAAAAGGUGUACUAAGAAAGUAUACAUACAAACGCCAAGGUACAGAUGUAUGAGUAACAGAUCGUCCAGCACGCAAAUUAAGAAUUCAAACCAGUUGUAGCCUCGACGACAAGUGGCUAAGGACGGGCCAAUGGACCGCUAUACUCGUUUUGUGGCAUGUGUCAACAUCAAGACGCGGCCACUGUGAACAUGUGGCUCGGACUGCCGACAUUUUUUGAUGGUACUUUUGACCGGUGGUUGCUUAACUUGUCGUUCUGCCGACUGUUGCACAUACAAAGUACUCAUUUGGCGCCAAAAUUUAAUGCGAAUGUGUGCUAAACCUUUACCUGCAGUAAGAAAUGUUUUUGAUUGUCAUUGUAACUGUGAUCUAGCUGUUUCAUGUUUUAUUCUGUCUACUUUUGAGGUUACCUACUGCGCUCCUGGCGCCAGCUCAAAAGUCUUGUGACUAAUCACUGCAAAAUAUAAAGAGAACUAUUCAACAAAAGAGAAAUAGACAAAUCCCAUUUAUGACAAGGACAAUAGACAAUGCCCAAAGAGCCAAAAACGAGGUAGUAAACGAACUGGAAAACAGGUACAACAAAUUUACCGAUAGCAGGUAUAUUUUCCAAGUCAUGUCAUGAGUAAUGCUUUCUACGAUACAUCGUUGAUUUAGGGCUUUUGAUACUCAAAACUUGUUAUGCCAUCGAUUUCAAAUAUACUUGAUUUAUGUGAAUUAAAAAGGCAGAAGUACAUAGUUGGUAAGGUAAAUAUAAUAUACUUAUGUUUUAAAAUCAUAUGGGUUCUAAAGAACAAAAAAAGGCCGGGACUGAGGUAUCGCUUGGAUCCACAUACAAAAAUAUUUGCGUAAUUUUAGGAGUCAACUUACUGGCAGUUUUAGCCCAAAGCGAUCUCGUUUUUCGUAUUAACAAUUUACUGCUGUAUUGCAUCUGUUCAAUUUAAAACUGUCUCGAAGGCACACAGUAGCCGAUAAGCAGGGUAGAAUGUUUGUCGACAUGUCGUUUAUGAAAAGUGCAAAAGAUUUGCCUCAUUUUCGCAUUUCUGCUUAUAAGCUUGGGGUGUUUUCCGUACUAAAAGCGUGGGAAAUAACCAACUUUUGAUCUUACGAAAAAGUAGUUCUACAUCACCUUCACAUUGCGUGCUUAGCUUUGGCGAACCAAGCUUGUGCGAUACUUACCUACUGGUUGGAAAUUUUUGAACAAUAGCGUAUAUUUUGGUAUCUAAUUGUGUAUCUGGGCGGUCGCAUGCAUUUGAUUGCCGCUGUUACUCUGGAACUUAGCUUGGGGCUGUCACGUUGUUCAGAGGAGCUUCUGCUUGUUCCUAAUAUAUGCAUGCGACUUCACAAUGAGCGUCUGAUAUAUUUAAUUAAUUGAUUGAGGCAUGCUUUAUAUGCCUGUCAGACAUAGGAUUCAUAUUGCAGCUGUACCCUCAAAAAACGCUACUUGCUUAAAAACAAAUUUUUCGUUUCGGUUUGUAGCUUGCAUUGCCAGCCGUAAAAACCCAUCUUGACUGAAACUCGAAAACCUGAGGUAAAAGUUUAACACAUGUGAAUAAGCGUACAAAUUGAAACCGAAAUUUCCCAACAAUAUUCUCACGCAAUCAGUUCAUAAACGAAGAAAAACUGUAAGGCACUGCCCCUGGCUUGUGUGCCCGUCGAAAAAUCAUAUUUUGCGUGCAUUUUGUAAGGUCGUAGGCAUAUGCAAGUACACUUUCUUUUCUGGUUCUGGUAACCAUAUGUGCCAUCAGUUGUCGACUGUGCAAUUUCCAUGAAAAAUCGCAAGAGUCAAGCUGACGCCGCCUGAAGGCCUCAAGGCACGGACAUGUGUUGUUUGUCGUUCCCAUCUCCGGGCAUAUACAUAGAUACAUACAUUUGAACGUCACACAGGGAAUAUACAUAUAUAUAUUAAAAUAUGUAUUGUCGCCAUCCUGUCUCUACGUAAAUAAGCUGUUUCGCAUUCUCAUACUUAUUUCCCCUCAUGCUGUCUUCGAGCUCGCAAUUAUAUUCAACGAACGAAGCACUUGCGGUCACACAUCUUAAAUAAUACUUGAGCUGUAUGGUAUACGAUCAAAAUGACAAAUUGGAGACUAGCUGUCGAAACCUAAGAUAUUUGCUUACAACAGGAUUUCGACUUGCUGACCAAGAAUACAUAUACUUCUUUAGAGUCGAAAAUGCUUCCUUCUGCUUGUUGUAUUUAAUUUGCCCAAAAGCAUUAUAAAUUUGUUACCCAUUUUUUAUCCCACUAAAAGAUGAGGUUACUUGAAACAGGAUAAUUGGGAUGCUUUGAAUCCCAUCAUGUAUCAAGAUUAAUUUGAUUUAAAAAUUUGGACACCCCAUACAACAAUUUUAAUGCUUAAGCAUUAAGCCCCACAAAACAAACUUGAAAUCGGCUUCAUUUGUAUUAGCGUGCAAGGCGGCUGCAUCAUACACGUUGCACUAGUUUAGUACAACUGAAAAUGUUGCUACAACUGAUUGUAACAUAUUUGAGCAGGUUGCACUGAGUGUGUUGUACAAGUUGUUUAUGCCUUUAAACGCGUGCUAUAUUGGCCGCGCAUAAGAAUAAGAAUUAUUUCUCAAUUUUGAAGUGCUUCUGUCGAACUAUAGAAGCAGACUGACGCAGACUGUAUGUGGGCAAUGGCAUCCAAGGCAAAUUUAUGAAUUUAGUUUCAAGGCCUACUUGAAAAAGAAAAUUAUUUUUUUAAUUAAAAGCAUGCUUGGAUGAAGAAAAUGUGCGUAUAAUUAGUGGAGCUACAAGAUUUUUUGUACGCUAUUUUGUUUCGAUAUGAGAGUCGAGUGGGAAGAAACUUUUUUUUUAGUGAAAAAAGAGAAGGAUUUAAAAUAUAAUAAACUUCUAAAGUAAAACCAUUUAUAGUUAGGUAACAAAAUUUCCUAUUUCAGAUUAUUGGGAUAUUUGGCUUAAUAUUAGAGGCGAAAGAUAUGCCCUUAUAAAUCAAGCUUGAGAAUAUUUUCAGUGUGCAAGUGGACUGCUAGCCGAGAUACUAAACAAACCCAAAAUAAAUUAAGGCCUAUUGAUAGUAAAUAUAUACAUAAAUAUAUUCAAGCGGAGAAUGGUGAAGGUAACGAGCCGUGUGGUUAAAUCUUUUGCAACGAAUGCAUUAGGUAAUUGUUUAUCAUUCCUUUUAGGCCAUUUAAAGCGGACGUGUUUCCAGAGAGCGGACACCGAACAUUGCGUUCUUUUCUGAAUUUGGAAAUAAAGAAAAUAUUCGGUCUGUGCCGGAGCUAUGACGAUUUUUUAGUGUUGGGUUAUACUCUGUUCUGACUUCAAAACCCAUACUAGAAAGCUCUUCUGUGAUUGUGGAAGCUAGGAUGCCACGCACCACUACUCUGAAAGACCUUUCACUCUGCAUCUGUUUCUGAAAUGAUUUUGACCAUUCCAGACCCACAUUUUUAUUUGAAUUUAGUAAUUGUAGAGUUAUUUACCACGAACUUGGCAAGAAUGUGGACGAUAACCAAGGGUCAUCAGCCGUUAGCGGAAGCUAAACAUUAUCUUAAAUAGUAAGAUAAACCCAUACAAAUGACUUUUGUUUAAACUUCGGGAUGUUGCUGAAGAAAUGACACGCAAGCCAGAUGCUUGCCAGUCUGUUGAAGAGUUCUUAGCUGCACGUAACCUAGUGACGUCACAUGUAUAAGCAUGUGCACAUUACGAUAAUGAUUGAAAGAAUAUAUUUAUAAAUGAUGUGCUGGUAUAAGUGUACAUAGUUGUCAAUAAAAUAAUAAUAAAAAUAAAAACAUACCUGGGGUUCCCAAUUGAAUACGUUCGGUUCCUAGCUUGCUUUAAUAGCUUUACGGCCGGACAUGUGGCCUGCGCACCUCACCUCCGUCUCCCACUGGUAUCAUCACCAACUGGUGUCUUUAUUUUUAAGUACCAUGUUAUAUAAUUGAAGACGAUGUAAUGUGGUUGUUAUAACAAAACUUUGUUUAUGUCGUCAAAGUUAUUGUUAUAAUUGGUUCACAAAGUGGGGAAAAGGUUAUGUGCAAUGUCCGUCUUGCUGUUUGUGUGAUUCCAAUUUUGUAUGACACAAUUUUUAAAAUAUUUUUUGAAAUCUGUGGUGGAGCAGCACAACAUUAUUACAUUAUAACACUAUUUUUGUAGGUUUCCUUACUCAAGUUGGUUAGUUUUAGGUUAAUUACACAUUUUUAAAGACGUUGUUUUUCCACCCAAUUAAAAAUAAAAGAAUUAAGAACGAGAGUGAAUUGGUCUAGUAUGGGUGCAUCAUUAAUAUGCACCAUUGAGUUUCCAACCUGAAAGCUAUAAACGUUUCGCAAAAAGGUGCGCAAAAGUCAUUAGAGGUGCACAAUAAAGAAAAUCAAAAGGAAAACAAGUGCAAAUUGAUUAUGGAAAUUCUAAGAAGUCACUUCUACCUGAAUUCUAAGUUCUUAGUUGCAUGACCGGGUAAAACCCGGAAAAUAUCAAUUGGUCGGUUCGCUAGACUUGCAAACAGUCGGCAGUAAUUAUAUUAAGCAGACUAAAAGCAAUUAGCGUCUGAGACUUGGCCGAAAUAAUAUAUGUGACGACUGCGUCUGGCACAGGUCUGGUGAGAGUCGACUACCUGAGUCGACUGUUUAUAGAUUAAACUGCAAUAGUGGAUGCUUAAUAUAAUAAAUAUAAAGAGACGGUAACAUUUCAUAUAUUUGCUGUUGUGCAAAAAGUAGCGUCAGUAGCGGUUAGCCCAAGUUCUAAGGCAAGCGUAGCACCGCCAAAACAACAACGCCAACUACGAUGACAACCCGACAACUGGCACGAAAGUCGGUUCAGUAACAACUCGUUUGCAUGUGGCAUCAUCAUCAUCAGCCACCGACCAGAGUGAGCCCAGAGGGCAGACGCUAUACCAGUGCUGCCUUAAUAUGUCUACCAGUCCCAGACGCAGACUCCCUUCGUUAUAAGCAUAUAGAACUGCAGAUGCUGCAAUUCAAAAGUCAGUUGAAAAUAUGACACAACUGGCGCCACCGCAGUACCAGACACAGGAGAAUUUUACCCCACCUCUUCGUAUAUACUCGGAGAAAUAUAGGCGUAUAUGCGUUUUUGCAACUGUAUAUACAUAUAUGCCAAUAAAUCAUUAUAGAAAUAAUAAG